rnacentral:rRNA from 1 species
UAGGGAAUCUUCCACAAUGGACGAAAGUCUGAUGGAGCAACGCCGCGUGAGUGAAGAAGGGUUUCGGCUCGUAAAACUCUGUUGUUAAAGAAGAACAUAUCUGAGAGUAACUGUUCAGGUAUUGAUGGUAUUUAACCAGAAAGCCACGGCUAACUACGUGCUAG